CAGCAGCUGGAUGUUCAAAUCUUGGUUGAUCUGCUGUAGAAAAGGUUCGAGUCAGCUGGAAGGCAUCACCCGGGCUGAGGCCGCCACUGCCACCCUGAGGCCACAGUGACAGCCCCUUCUCAUAUCAGAGGCCCAGUCUUGCAGCCUGGCGGAGGCAGUUCCGGCUCCCAUAGUCUGUGGGGGCAAGGGGUGGAGCCUCACCUCGGCAGAGGAAUAGCCAGAGGAAGAGUAUCUGGACAUGUCAAAGUCAUCAUCGCUGGCCGGAAAAAGGAGAGAGGAAGUGAUUCAGGAAAAGUAAACAGAAAAUUCUCAGUAUCUUUGCCAUACCCGCCGUCCCCCAACAGUAUGAUUUUAAUAACCCCUGCUUAUUAUGCAAAUAUGUUUGCAAAGACAGGUUUCCCAGCUCAACCUUCAAAUAAAGUGGCUUCUUAAACUCC